rnacentral:rRNA from 1 species
AUUGAACGCUGGCGGCAGGCUUAACACAUGCAAGUCGAGCGGGGACUUCGGUCCUAGCGGCGAACGGGUGAGGAAUGCUUGGGAAUCUGCCCAGUAGCGGGGGAUAACGUUUCGAAAGGAACGCUAAUACCGCAUACGCCCUACGGGGGAAAGGGGGGGAUCUUCGGACCUCUCACUAUUGGAUGAGCCCAAGUCGGAUUAGCUAGUGGGUGGGGUAAAGGCGUACCAAGGCGACGAUCCGUAGCUGGUCUGAGAGGAUGAUCAGACACACUGGUACUGGGGAACGGUCCAGACGCCUACGGGAGGCAGCAGUGGGGAAUAUUGGACGAUGGGCGAAAGCCGGGUCCAGCCAUGCCGCGUGUGUGAAGAAGGCCUUCGGGUUGUAAAGCACUUUAAGCGAGGAGGAAUGGCUGAGGGUUAAUAACCUUCAGCAGUGACGUUACUCGCAGAAUAAGCACCGGCUAACUCUGUGCCAGCCGCCGCCGUAAUAC